UACGGAGGGAGCUAGCGUUGUUCGGAAUUACUGGGCGUAAAGCGCGCGUAGGCGGCUUUGUAAGUUAGAGGUGAAAGCCCGGGGCUCAACUCCGGAACUGCCUUUAAAACUGCAUCGCUUGAAUCCGGGAGAGGUGAGUGGAAUUCCGAGUGUAGAGGUGAAAUUCGUAGAUAUUCGGAAGAACACCAGUGGCGAAGGCGACGUCCUGGACCGGCAUUGACGCUGAGGCGCGAAAGCCAGGGGAGCAAACGGG
rnacentral:rRNA from 1 species